rnacentral:rRNA from 1 species
GACGAACGCUGGCGGCGUGCUUAACACAUGCAAGUCGAACGGGCGGAGAGAGGAGCUUGCUCUUCUCAAAGCAAGUGGCGGACGGGUGAGUAACGCGUGGGUAACCUGCCCAUAAGAGGGGGAUAACAUCGGGAAACCGGUGCUAAUACCGCAUAACAUACUGAGGUUGCAUGACCAUGGUAUUAAAGGAGCAAUCCGCUUAUGGAUGGACCCGCGUCGGAUUAGCUGGUUGGUAGGGUAAAGGCCUACCAAGGCGACGAGCAGUAGCCGGCCUGAGGGGGUGACCGGCCACACUGGAACUGAGCCUCGGUCCAGACUCCUACGGGAGGCGGCAGUGGGGAAGCUUCCGCAAUGGGCGAAAGCCUGACGGAGCAACGCCGCGUGAGUGAUGAAGGCCUUCGGGUUGUAAAACUCUGUCUUCAGGGAAGAAAGCAAUGACGGUACCUGAGGAGGAAGCCACGGCUAACUACGUGCCAGCAGCCGCAGUAA